CCUACGGUGAGCUGCAGUGGGGGAUAUUGCACAAUGGGGGGAACCCUGAUGCAGCGACGCCGCGUGGGUGAAGAAGCGCCUCGGCGCGUAAAGCCCUGUCAGCAGGGAAGAAAAUGACGGUACCUGAAGAAGAAGCCCCGGCUAACUACGUGCCAGCAGCCGCGGUACUCCGUAGGGGGCAAGCGUUAUCCGGCUUUACUGGGGAUAAGGGGGGCGCAGACGGCGAUGCAAGCCAGGAGGGAAAGCCCGGGGCCCAACCCCGGGACUGCUCUUGGAACUGAGUGGCUGGAGUGCAGGAGGGGCAGGCGGAAUUCCUGGUGUAGCGGUGAAAUGCGUAGAUAUCAGGAGGAACACCGGUGGCGAAGGCGGCCUGCUGGACUGCAACUGACGUUGAGGCCCGAAAGCGUGGGGAGCAAACAGGAUUAGAUACCCUUGUAGUC
rnacentral:rRNA from 1 species